AAUGAACUUCACCAGCCCGCCAGAUUAUUACAAGCGAAAGCCUAAAACUCAAAGGACUUGACGGUGUCCCAUAUUCAGCCUAGAGGAGCCUGUCCUAUAAUCGAUGACCCACGAUUCACCUCACCAUUUUUUGCCAAACAGCCUAUAUACCGCCGUCACAAGUUCACCUUUUGAAAGGAAAAAAGUGAACAAAAUAGCCCAGUGCUAGUAUGUCAGGUCAAGGUGUAGCUAAUAAACUGGUUUGAGAUGGGCUACAUUUCCUUUACAAAGGAAACACGAACGGUCCUAUGAAAACCCACCAGAAGGAGGAUUUAGUAGUAAAGUGGGAUUAGCAAGCCUGCUUGAAUAUACUGCCCUGGGACACGUACACACCGCCCGUCACC
rnacentral:rRNA from 1 species